CUGGGGAGGUUAGCCAGGGAGGCCUUUUCAUUUCUGCUGGCCCAUGACGGUGAACUAACUUAUAGGAGAUGGUACUGCCUUCCAGAAAAUUUUGGAGAGGGGGUACAGUUAUCACAGCUUCCCAGUUCUGGGUCCAAGAAUCCUCCAGAAGAGCCCCCAUCAGUGUGGACUUCACCUUCAUGUUAGGGUGCCCUGGGACACCAAGGAGAUCUGCCUUGCCUAUUGUCCAAUAGCUCAUAUGUGUUCCACGAGAGAUUUGAACCUUGAGAAAUUCUCCACUCUGAUGAGAUCAUAAGACCAGCCAAAGCAAAACAAAUCCAGUCGAGACCAGGCCAAUCAAGACCAGAGAAGCCUCACCGAAGCAUGGAAGCCCAAACUCCUGGGCUGUACUGCCUGACCUCUGAGAAUUUUGGGGAUUCUACCCCGUAAGCCACUGUAGGAAGUGACUGCCCCUCUCCAUUUUGUUUCUGUCAAUGAAUUGCAGGGUCAUUUCCACAGAGUGAAUCACAGAACUGAUUGACAGCUGCUCUUUCCCAGGCAGGCUGCCGCCCUGGGUGCAGGCUGCCAGGUAUGGUGCUGCCUCAUUUCCAUUCAGCUGAGACUUACUGGUCUUUCAUCUCCAUAGCCCAGGCAUCCUCUCUUUCCUC
rnacentral:lncRNA from 1 species